AUAAUCUAAAGUGGCAAGCAAACUCAACAUCAACUCAUUGAACAAUUAUUUCUGCAAGUGUUAGUUAUACAAAUGCAAUUAUAUUUACCUGGGCCGAUAAACUUAUUCGAAUAAAUAAAUUCCAUCAUGGAAUUUCCAUGUGUAUCAAGAAACACAAUAUUUUAAGAAUUAAUUUAAUUUUUUGAUUAAUUUAGUUUUCACAAUAUUAAAUUUAACUAUUUACCAUCAAAACAAUGGAGUCUGGUGACAAAUCGAGCUUAACCCCAGAAAUGGACUAUUACCUGGACAUAUUGCUGUCAUGCUGCUGCUUUCAUUGCUAAUUAAGUACUUUGAAAAUUUCGAGUGGGUGGCAUUCCUGGAAAAUUCUCCGGCAAUACCAAUGAUCGACAAUGCUGUCCCAUAUCCAAGCACGGGUCAAUUUUGCGAAACACAGGGUCAACUGGUUUUCUAAAUUUAGGAUGAAAGCUCAUCUGCCAAUGGACGGCAUAGAAUUUAAAUAGUUUUUGACGUUUCCUAUAUCAGAAUUUCAGAAAUUGUCGUGUUAAUUAUUUCUCGCAAAUUGUUUUAAUAAUUUUUCACUCGUGAGUAGUUCUACGACUUUUGGUAUGUAAGAAAUAUUUUUGGUUGUUGGUAUUCGGAUAUUAGCAUUUAUGUUGUAAAAAUUGGUGAUGAAGGUUAGACGUCAAAAACAUGCAACGUUGAUAUUUAUUUUAUCUGCGUCGUUGUAACUUUCAGAUGGCUUGAUGAGUUUUGGAUUUCAUCAGAAAUUAGUGAAACAAGUAAUAUUUGAAAUCUCUAGUACGAGAAGUUUACUUUAGUAGAUAAGAACAAUAUGCAUUUACUAAUUUAUAUACAUAUGCACGAACAUAUUGCGUAUAUUUUCUUACUUCGUAGUAAAAAUUUAACAUAUCUUAAGCCUGGACUUAUUUAUUUUUGUGUUAAACAAUUUGUUAUAUUACACAGUUUUUCUGAUACCGAUUCAUAAUAAAUUUAAUCAAAGGGAAAUAAAGCUUCAAGUUUUUAUCUUUUACUGUUCAAUUUUUUAAAUAAUUAUGGUUACUUGAAAUAUGACCUUGUUAUGAAAUAUGACGGGAAUAAAGUGUUUCUUUUUGUGCGAACGAAA